GUGGAUUAGAUACCCUGGUAGUCCAUGCCGUAAACGUUGGGCACUAGGUGUGGGGGGCAUUCCACGUUCUCCGCGCCGUAGCUAACGCAUUAAGUGCCCCGCCUGGGGAGUACGGUCGCAAGGCUAAAACUCAAAGGAAUUGACGGGGGCCCGCACAAGCGGCGGAGCAUGCGGAUUAAUUCGAUGCAACGCGAAGAACCUUACCAAGGCUUGACAUACACUGGACCGUUCUGGAAACAGUUCUUCUCUUUGGAGCUGGUGUACAGGUGGUGCACGGUCGUCGUCAACU
rnacentral:rRNA from 1 species